rnacentral:rRNA from 1 species
CCUACGGGUGGCAGCAGUGGUGAAUAUUGCGCAAUGGGCGAAAGCCUGACGCAGCGACGCCGCGUGAGGGAUGAAGGUCUUCGGAUCGUAAACCUCUGUCAGCAGGGAAGAACGGUAACUGUGCUAAUCAGCAGUGAAUUGACGGUACCUGCAAAGGAAGCACCGGCUAAAUCCGUGCAAGCAGCCGCGGUAAUACGGAGGGUGCGAGCGUUAAUCGGAAUUACUGGGCGUAAAGCGCUCGUAGGCGGUAUGUCAAGUCAAGGGGGAAAUCCCCGCGCUCAACGUGGGAACUGCCUUGGAAACUGGCAAACUGGAGUGUGUGAGAGGAUAGUGGAAUUCCAGGUGUAGGAGUGAAAUCCGUAGAUAUCUGGAGGAACAUCAGUGGCGAAGGCGACUAUCUGGCACAUAACUGACGCUGAGGAGCGAAAGCGUGGGUAGCAAACAGGAUUAGAUACCCGAGUAGUC